GAAUGUGAGGGCAAUCUGGCUGCAACAUCUGUUAUCUCGUUGAUCACUAGGGUUGAUUCUCUUGAUCUGGAUGGCUAGAGAGUUCUCCCCUUCCUCCCUUUCUGCUCCAUGUGCAUCCCGCCUGAAGUUUCACACUUGGUCAAACAGGAUGACCUUCCUUAAUAAUGGAGGACCAGUCUUCCAUCACGGGUAUAACAGUGGCUGUGUCCCCAGCUAGAGCCAAACAAACUCUCAAGUUCUUGUAUUUUUGAUAUUAAAGUCUAUGAGUCAUUUUUUUUAUUUUAAUGAAUCCUCUGUGGACCUGAACUUUAUUGGGUGUGAUAUCCUUA
rnacentral:snRNA from 1 species